AUUAUUUUAUUAACUAAAUGAAUAGUUUAAAAACUAUAUGUGUUGAUAUAUUUAAUAUACUGUAUAUUAAAUAUAUCAACACUUA